rnacentral:rRNA from 2 species
GGAGCACAGGUUUACCUGUGUGACUGCGUACCUUUUGUAUAAUGGGUCAGCGACUUAUAUUCUGUAGCAAGGUUAACCGAAUAGGGGAGCCGGAGGGAAACCGAGUCUUAAUUGGGCGUUAAGUUGCAGGGUAUAGACCCGAAACCCGGUGAUCUAGCCAUGGGCAGGUUGAAGGUUGGGUAACACUAACUGGAGGACCGAACCGACUAAUGUUGAAAAAUUAGCGGAUGACCUGUGGCUGGGGGUGAAAGGCCAAUCAAACCGGGAGAUAGCUGGUUCUCCCCGAAAGCUAUUUAGGUAGCGCCUCGUGAAUUCAUCUCCGGGGGUAGAGCACUGUUUCGGCUAGGGGGCCAUCCCGGCUUACCAACCCGAUGCAAACUGCGAAUACCGGAGAAUGUUAUCACGGGAGACACACGGCGGGUGCUAACGUCCGUCGUGAAGAGGGAAACAACCCAGACCGCCAGCUAAGGUCCCAAAGUCAUGGUUAAGUGGGAAACGAUGUGGGAAGGCCCAGACAGCCAGGAUGUUGGCUUAGAAGCAGCCAUCAUUUAAAGAAAGCGUAAUAGCUCACUGGUCGAGUCGGCCUGCGCGGAAGAUGUAACGGGGCUAAACCAUGCACCGAAGCUGCGGCAGCGACACUGUGUGUUGUUGGGUAGGGGAGCGUUCUGUAAGCCUGCGAAGGUGGCCUGUGAGGGUUGCUGGAGGUAUCAGAAGUGCGAAUGCUGACAUAAGUAACGAUAAAGCGGGUGAAAAGCCCGCUCGCCGGAAGACCAAGGGUUCCUGUCCAACGUUAAUCGGGGCAGGGUGAGUCGACCCCUAAGGCGAGGCCGAAAGGCGUAGUCGAUGGGAAACGGGUUAAUAUUCCCGUACUUGGUGUUACUGCGAAGGGGGGACGGAGAAGGCUAUGUUGGCCGGGCGACGGUUGUCCCGGUUUAAGCGUGUAGGUGUGUGUUCCAGGUAAAUCCGGUUCACUUUAACACUGAGGCGUGACGACGAGGCACUACGGUGCUGAAGCAACAAAUGCCCUGCUUCCAGGAAAAGCCUCUAAGCAUCAGGUAACAUCAAAUCGUACCCCAAACCGACACAGGUGGUCAGGUAGAGAAUACCAAGGCGCUUGAGAGAACUCGGGUGAAGGAACUAGGCAAAAUGGUGCCGUAACUUCGGGAGAAGGCACGCUGACACGUAGGUGAAGUGAUUUACUCAUGGAGCUGAAGUCAGUCGAAGAUACCAGCUGGCUGCAACUGUUUAUUAAAAACACAGCACUGUGCAAACACGAAAGUGGACGUAUACGGUGUGACGCCUGCCCGGUGCCGGAAGGUUAAUUGAUGGGGUCAGCGCAAGCGAAGCUCCUGAUCGAAGCCCCGGUAAACGGCGGCCGUAACUAUAACGGUCCUAAGGUAGCGAAAUUCCUUGUCGGGUAAGUUCCGACCUGCACGAAUGGCGUAAUGAUGGCCAGGCUGUCUCCACCCGAGACUCAGUGAAAUUGAACUCGCUGUGAAGAUGCAGUGUACCCGCGGCAAGACGGAAAGACCCCGUGAACCUUUACUAUAGCUUGACACUGAACAUUGAGCCUUGAUGUGUAGGAUAGGUGGGAGGCUUUGAAGUGUGGACGCCAGUCUGCAUGGAGCCGACCUUGAAAUACCACCCUUUAAUGUUUGAUGUUCUAACGUGGACCCGUUACCCGGGUUGCGGACAGUGUCUGGUGGGUAGUUUGACUGGGGCGGUCUCCUCCUAAAGAGUAACGGAGGAGCACGAAGGUUGGCUAAUCCUGGUCGGACAUCAGGAGGUUAGUGCAAUGGCAUAAGCCAGCUUGACUGCGAGCGUGACGGCGCGAGCAGGUGCGAAAGCAGGUCAUAGUGAUCCGGUGGUUCUGAAUGGAAGGGCCAUCGCUCAACGGAUAAAAGGUACUCCGGGGAUAACAGGCUGAUACCGCCCAAGAGUUCAUAUCGACGGCGGUGUUUGGCACCUCGAUGUCGGCUCAUCACAUCCUGGGGCUGAAGUAGGUCCCAAGGGUAUGGCUGUUCGCCAUUUAAAGUGGUACGCGAGCUGGGUUUAGAACGUCGUGAGACAGUUCGGUCCCUAUCUGCCGUGGGCGCUGGAGAACUGAGGGGGGCUGCUCCUAGUACGAGAGGACCGGAGUGGACGCAUCACUGGUGUUCGGGUUGUCAUGCCAAUGGCACUGCCCGGUAGCUAAAUGCGGAAGAGAUAAGUGCUGAAAGCAUCUAAGCACGAAACUUGCCCCGAG